UUGCAGAUUCUGGGUGAUGAUGUCAUUGACACAAAGAUGAAAAUGCAAAAGAGGCAGACUUAAAUCAACUUCCUGGUGAGACCAGCUGCAUAUUGGCCAUGGCUUUGCAGAGCACUCUGGAAGCAGCGUGGCUGGGGCUUCUCCUCAGCAUUCUCUGGAAGGUUGCACAGAGCAAGGACCAAGUGUUUCAGCCUCCCACGGUGGCAUCUUCAGAGGGAGCUGUGGCAGAAAUUUCCUGUAAUCACUCUGUGUCCAAUGCUUACAACUUCUUCUGGUACCUUCAGUUCCCAGGAUGUGCUCCAAGACUUCUUGUUAAGGGCUCAAAGCCGUCUCAGCAGGGACGAUACAACAUGACAUAUGAACGGUUCUCUUCAUCACUGCUCAUCCUCCAGGUGCAGGAGGCAGAUGCGGCUGUUUACUACUGUGCUGUGGAGGACACAGAGGCAGGGAACCCAUCAAGAGCUGAACAGAAACAGAGAGAGAUCAUGGCCUUUUGCAGGAGGCAGAAAAGAGAAGAACAAUAAACACCCCUCCCACCAAUUUUGUAUUCCCUAAGCUUUUUCAUUUCACUGCUAUCAGAAAAAAAAAAAUUGAGUCCAGACACACUAUCAGCAAACGUCUAGAAGAAAAUACAAUAUUAAAGAGGGAUUAAUUAUCAAUAAUGGUGCUGU